rnacentral:rRNA from 1 species
CGGUUAAGUUAGAAAGGGCGCACGGUGGAUGCCUUGGCACUAGGAGCCGAUGAAGGACGGGACUAACACCGAUAUGCUUCGGGGAGCUGUAAGUAAGCUUUGAUCCGGAGAUUUCCGAAUGGGGAAACCCACUGUUCGUAAUGGAACAGUAUCUUUACCUGAAUACAUAGGGUACUGAAGGCAGACCCGGGGAACUGAAACAUCUAAGUACCCGGAGGAAGAGAAAGCAAACGCGAUUUCCUGAGUAGCGGCGAGCGAAACGGAAUUAGCCCAAACCAAGAGGCUUGCCUCUUGGGGUUGUAGGACACUCAACAUGGAGUUACAAAGGAACGGGGUAAAUGAAGCGACCUGGAAAGGUCCGUCGAAGAAGGUAAAAACCCUGUAGUUGAAACUUCGUUCCCUCCUGAGUGGAUCCUGAGUACGGCGGGACACGAGAAAUCCCG